CUCAGUACUGCGCGUGUCUGGUAAACGCUUCAGAGCGUCCUCCAGACGGCUUUUCUCACGGCUGGAAAUCACUUUACAAAAAUAAGAUCGGUGAUUUUUACGAUUAAGAAACUUGAACGUCAUAACUUGAAAACCCUGUGGAUCCCCCUUUGUGCGCUGGCCUGUCCCCCAGCCUCUGCCCCAGCCGCCACGGCCAGCGUCUACACCAUGUUCGCAGACCUGAUUUCUUGCCGCCUACACUUCGUUCUGCACCCGUCAGGGCCCCAAGAUUCCCUUCUGGUCCUUUCUGCAUUCAGGGAGGCUAGCGGCUUUCUACCCCAACCUUUUCACCUGUCAGUUUUAAAGACAUUUCGAUUCAGCUGCUGUCGGCUCCACUCCGGACGUCCCGUAUUGCUUUCAACCAGGCUCCGUUGGCUCCGUUCUGUGGGUGAGCAGCCCCGUGGGUGGGCGUGAUUCUUGGGGAGCCCGUCCCGAGGGGCUGACUCCAGAACGUCUUUUGUCAGCAGUGCUGCUGGGAGAGUCCGAGGCCCACCUGCUUCCCCCUGUAGCCGACACGGAUGCCUACCUCCUGCCUGGACACUCAGACCAGGCGUCUCUGGUCCCUGAAAUCGGUAAAGUCACCAGGACGAGACUCAGUGACCAACGGUUGUGACCAAUGUUGCCUGGAACGAGAGAAAGCGUCCUUUUAAUCUGCAGACUUGGCUGUCCCCUUACUUCAAGAAAAUCUUUUCAAUUAUG